GCUAUCUUCUGCUACGGGUUAUCUUAUGCUUCUUAACCAUCAUGCCCCAGGAACUAAUGGAUGGAUUGCUUUCUGGAAGAUUUUUCAGGGUUUUCAAGUAAGAGACUUUCUAAGCUUGACGUGAACCAUCUUCAACACCGUCUCUGGAAAAUCACUCUAUCUUUUGGACCAGCAAUGACUUAACUGCAAGUUGGGAAAAGAAGUUACCCAUUUCAUGACAGUGGAAUGUAAGAUAGCUUUAAUAGGGAGCAGAGGAGAGGGCUCAGAGCUGCCAGUGGCUAUCUUUCAACCGCCACCUUUCCCCUUGGUCUUUUGGAACCUUGUAUGGAGAUGGCACUGACACAGCCAGCAUGCUUCUGCUGCCACAGACAAACAAGAGUCCUGCUACCGUGUACCCCUUGCCACGACUGACUGGAUCCAUGAAACUGAAAGCAUCUUUGCCUUCAGAGUCACAACCAUCAUCUCAUGGACCACUGGCUGAAAUGAUGGAGGGAUGGAGAAACAAGAGGGUAUUUAUGCAAAUAUGCUGUCUGAAUGCUUUCAGAUUAUAGUAAUGUCUGAAAUAUGGACUGAUCUGAUGAGCAAGACCCUGGCCUCCCCUACACAAGCAUCUGAGCUAGGACAGCUCAAGUGGACACCAAAGAGUUCGAAGAAUCAUACCAAUCAUGGACCAGGAAAACCACCAUGACCAAAUGUUUUAUCCCUGGGAAGACCAAGCUGGGGCAGUUCAGCUUUAGGGCUCAGAACGUACUCAUGCCUCCACUUCCUGGAGUAACGCCACUCUUUGGAGGAUACAUCACUUGGAAGCAGUAGGAACAUCAUGCUUUUCUAAACCACUUCCUUCUGCUGAAGUGACCCAAAGGUCACUGAUGUAUGCCCUUUACACCUUCAGCAAUGUCUCCCUGCUUCACUAGUCACAUAAAUUAGGGACAUCUACUGGUUGACAUCUAAGCAGAAUAUUUACUCCUGUGUGUAGCUCAUUUGUUACCAGAGAUCAUCUAAAAAUGACAACAAAUCUGCUAAUCCUAAUAUAGUUCUGGGUACUUGCUUUUAAGGGAAAACAAUCAGAUAAGUUCAAAGAGCAGAUAGCAGACAGUAUUUUUGCAGAAUUUUUAAUAAUUCUAAAUAUAUGAAAUUAGUUGAAACUUUAAAAUACUGGUUCACAUAAUUAUUUGCACGGUCUCAAAAUUGUAUGUAAUUCCAAAGAAGUUUUAUUACAAUAGUUUUGGUUAUUUAAAACAACUUUAAACUUAAAUAUGUCGACCACAUUCUCCCCCUUCUCUAAAUCCUUGCAGAUCUGCUCCCCUCCUCUAUACACCCAAUUUUAGUUCUUUCUCAAAAACAGAUAAAACCCCAAGACACAAAACUCCCCAAAACCAAGAAAACAAAUAAAUACCCACCUCCAGUAAAACAACCAAACUGUAACCAAAUAAAAGCACACACACGCAAAAACUGUGGAGACCAUUAUAUGUUAGGCAACAGCUUCUGAAUAUGAGCUGUCCUGGAGUGGUUGACAUACCUAGUGUCACUCUACUGGAGAUAAUGAAUUUCCCUCUCUCCACUGGUGUCAGUCACAAUUCAGUUGUUAGCUUUUACCACCAGUGGCUAUGCUUUCAUUGACUCUUUUGUUCAUUUAUCCAUUCAUCCAUUUUUUAAUAUAGAAAAUAAAAUACAGUAAGAUAGGACAAAACUA